UUUGAAGUUACUUGGACUGUCUCGUCUCUCAGAGUUAGCAAUGGUAACAAGAACCAAAGACCUACAGAAGGGUGGAACAACCAUAAACUGCGAACUGAAUACAAUCAGUCACCUCUUCAGAUAUGGACCCUAAACCAGCAUGAGGGGAAAGAACCUGCGCAGACUGAUCAUGAGUAUGGAAUAGACUGGAAAGAUCCAUCUGGUUACCGCACUGAAGGCCUCAUCAUUCCUGAAGUACAGCUUCCAAGGGCAUUGAGUCCUGAAGAAAUUCAGCAGUUACCAAAUCCUCAUGGCUCAUUUUCUGAUGUGUUAAAUGUGUAUAGUGCCACAGUUGCUACUGUAACUCAAAUGUUUCAAAUCAAAAUCAGAUUAAAUGUCUAUACUUUGAA